GCGGCGGCCAGGCAGGCAGGACGCGCAGCUUGAGGAGCCCGCAGAUAAGUUCCUACUUAAAAAGACUGAGAUUAAGGAAAAAUUAGAACUUUAAACUUAGAUCGCUAAAUAGAGUAGCGUGUGGAGAUGAGGCUUAGCGUUAAAUUCUUAAUUUCUAGCGUAAAAAGGUUUUAAGAGAAAAUAUGGAGCCUAAUAUAAGGAGUUUAAAACAGGAAAAGAGAAGAAAAAUAAUUGUAAGAUCUGGAGGCUGAGAGGAAGGUUUUAGAGAGUAAUUUAAAAGAUUGUAAAGGGAGGCAAUACAGAGCCUUUAAAAGCCUUUAGUUUGAAGGUCAGCCUUGUAGACUAAAACGAAGGUUGCUUAUUGCUGAAAACAACCCAAAUGCCAUUUAAAAACAGUAAAAUCAGUUUGAAAAUGAGGUAAAGGUUAAAAUGAAAACUAGGUUAAGUUGAAGGCGGUUAUGAAAGACCUUCGGUUGAUGGCGCAGGAAAGAUUGCGUCAUUUGAAGCGUAUUUAUGUUCCAAGGCAUUUGAGGUGGAAACGGAAGUUUAGUUGGAAUUGGUAGCUUAGUAUUGGAGAAAGAAGAUUAGGAAUUGAAGUGGAAAACGAAGACAGAAAUACAGGAAAGAGAAGAACAGCUGUAGAGAAGAUAGGAAAAUAGAAGACGAAGCAUCUUUAGAAGACAGAACGGUGUUUAAACGUAAUGGUAGGAAGCAGAAGAAAAAACCUAGGAAAAUGACAAGCUUAGAAGACUAGAAGAAGCAAGAUAGAAAAGCAAGUUAAGACCACUUGGAUUCAAGCAUUCAAGAUAGGCAAAGAAGAUAGAUUGACCAAAAGGUUGGCUAAAAUAUAAAUUCUCAAGGAUCAGGAAGUUAUUUUCAAAUUAAUAAAUUCUGAUUUCUGAUGGAGCGGUUUGAGUGGUGUAGACAGCCACUGAACGAGAGAAGCUAGACAUCAAGCCUGCUAGGGCUGAAGGAAUUAAGAAGUUAAGGCAGAAUGUUUGAAGAGUUAGAAGAAUUUUAGAAGCCUUAACUUUAGCGUAAUUUUGUUUGAAAAACCAAAGGACUUUUGCUAACAAUUUCAAGAUUAUCAGCAUUUUGCGUUGGACUUUGAGCUUGAGGUUCUUUUAAAAAUCCUAAGGACUUAGCGUUAGCAGCAGACCCAGGUCUACACAGAAGUGGAUUCAGUGAACCUAGGAAGACAGGCGUCCCGAGGCCAGUUUGGUGAAGAUAGCCCAGGAAACAGUGCGGUUCGGUGGAGGAAGCUAGGAAGAAGGAGCCCUCACGCUGUGGUGAAGCUAGGAAAGGAUUCCAGGAAGGUGGAGCCAGUGGAGUUGGUGAUGAGAAGCUAGCGGCUUGGCCACUGCGCAGAGGAGGCGAGCAGGCGUUGUGGAGAGGAUAGAUAGCGGCUCCUAGUCCAGCAUGCCGGUGUGCAAGACAGGCAGCAGGGAGAGCGUUGGUGCCGUAAAGUCCAUGAGGUCGGCAGCGCGGUGUGUUCUGUAACUUGAGGAUGGUAACUCGUUUAUUUUGCCUUACCGGUAAUGGGGGAGUUGUAAGCUUCUGUGUAAAGGGAUUUCUUGGGGCUGUAGGCCGGUUCCGGGUGUCGUAGGUUUUUCUUUUUCAGGCUUAUGUCCUCUCUCAUCUUGUCUGAAGCUUUUGAGGGCAGACUGCCAAGGCCCAGAAGAAUGAUAGAUGGCAAGUUGUCUUACCCGAUUGGAGGGAGAAUCAAUGGUAGAGCCAACACAACCCCACCAGUUUUGUGAGAAGUUUUAGUUUUGUGAACAGAUGGUCUACUGCAGUCUCCUGCCAGUCUACUCUGUAGUUGGGAGGUAACUGGGCAGUGUUUGUGGGGAUGGGGCAAAAUGUGUUUUUGAGUUCUUUUCCCUUAGGUCUUUCUAGAAUCCUAAAGGCAGAUGACUCAAGGGAACCAGAAAAGAAAAUCCAGUAUCAGGAUAAUCUGAACUCAACAGGUUUACAGUUUCUAGGAAUUAGAGGAUGGAUAAUAGCUUUCACUUUGAGUCUGGAGGCGCUGUCCAUUGGAGAAAUGGCUGGUAGUUUAUUCUUACCCCCCUCCCUUAAUGAGACUUGUAAAAUUCCUCAUCUUUUAAACUGCAUUUUUACUUGAAAUAUUUGGGAAUGGUCUUAACAGGGAGGAUCGGGUGGGGGAGAUGUAUUUUUCUAAGAUUUUCCACAGAUGCUAGUUCUGUUGGCACGCUGGGUUAGAGAAGGCGUGUGCUGCUGUGCGGUUGGCAUGACCUUCAGGGACUGGAGCUGCCCUUUAUCCUUGGAAGAGUUUUCCCAGUUGCGGCUGAAGUACAGCACAGUGCAGCUUUGGUUCAGUCACCUCAGGAGGCCCUCAGGAGCUUGCCUAGGCCAGAUGUUGAAGUUAAGUUUUCAAGCACCAUGACUUUCAACCUUUCCAUUAAGGGGAGGGCAAAACUUAGUUGGCUGUGGCUGCUGCGUUUGGGUGGUGGUGGGGGGUUAGGUAAUUGUUUAGUUUAUGAUUUCAGAUAAUCAUACCAGAGAACUUAAAUACUUAGGAUGGAAAAACUGAGGAAAUCUCAGCUUUCAAGUUGGCAAGUAACUCCCAAUCUUCCAGUUUUUGUUUCUUUUGUUUCUUUUUUCUUUUUCUGAGUUGGCAGCUGAGGAAGAUUGCUCUGGGAACCCCUACCAGUAAUUUGGGCAAGGAGAGUAAACCAAAACAGUUGUCUGUUUUCUGAAACGUGUGUAGGGCUUGGGGGUUGGUCUGGUCCACUGGAGUGAUACGAAAACUACAGUGUUGGGAUUCAUUUAUUUUUAUUUUUUUUUAUUUUUUUAAGUUACUGGAUAUAGAUUGUAGUGUGUGGUUCUCUUGAAAUUUUUUUCAGGUGACUUAAUGUAUCUUAAUAACUACUAUAGGAGCCUCAGAGCAGAGGAAGUGGCUUAAUGACCCUGCAGGGAAUUCUCCUGGUGAUAGCUUUUAUAUUAUCAAACUCUUUUCAGAUAACACCAUCUGAAUCAUAACAAGCCUGGCAGUAUGAUGACGUAGCUGCAGAGGGAACAGCUCGUUGGUGAAUGAUAAGUAAAGGCAGAAAAGAUAAUGUCAUGUCUCCAUUGGGGAAUGAGCAUGAGUCCAAGAUUCUUACUACUGAUGAAAACCAUGUCUCCAUAUGCAAAAAAUUAAGCAAAUGAAAGCAACCAAUAUAAAGUUAUGGAAUCUACCAUGUUUAAAAGAUAAUGGCUUAUCAAGUAAAGAAUUGAUGAAAAACAAUGAAGAUCAAAUGUCCAUCUCAAAACACUGCUUUUACAAAAGCAGAAUAAAAAAUGAAAUGAAAUGAAAAUGCUACAUUAAUCCUGGAGUAAAAAGAAGCUGAAAUUAUUGAUGAGUGGGAUCAAGUGGAUUGAGAGGAGGCUGUGCAGUGUGCCAAUCUUUCCUUUGCCUCAGACAGGUUUCUCUUCAUAAUCAGAAGAGUUGCUUCAUUUCAUCUCGGAGCAGGAAACAGCAGAGCUGUUAACAGAUAAGUUUUAACUUGAAUCUGCAGUAUUGCAUGUCAGGGAUAAGUGCUUAUUUUUGUAAGAGCUGUGGAGGUAUUUGUCCUUGCCUGACCCCUUCCUUCGGGGAUUUCAGGAUAGUGAGCAGUUUCCCCAUCAAGCCUUUUAGAAAUUCUAGGCCUUGUGCCAAUGGGCUUUCAUGAUGGGAUAUAGUAGGUAAAAAAGGCUUUUGCAUCCUAAGUAAUUUCAUCACAAAAGCCUUGUAUACAUGAUUAGUGGCUGCUUAAAUCACAUUGCUUACAAAACUAAGGAAUCUUUUUCACUUGAUUCUCUGAAGACCCUGUGAAAGGGAUGUAGCAUUAUGUGCUAAAAGUCAGAUAUGUUCAUCUUGCUAAAAUUUAAAUGUGCUAAAUGUACUUGUGCUUAAACCAUUAAAGUAUACAAAUUAAUAAAAUACUUGACUAGAGAAUGUAUAUAUUUAGAAAGCUGUCUCCUUAUUUAAAUAAAGUAUUGUUUGUCUGUAGUUAGUGUUGGGCAAUCUUGGGGGGGAUGUUCUUUUCUAAUCUUUCAGAAAUUUUGUCUUCGAACACUUAAACGGACAAGAUCAGGACUUGAGCAGAAGACCGAAUUUAACUUUAAGGCAGGAAAGACAAAUUUUAUUCUCCAUACAGUGAUGAAUGAGCACUUAAUAAUUCCAGGCGUGGCAUAGAGGCCCUCUAAAUAAGGAAUAAGUACCUUAGACAGGUGGGAGAUAAUGGUCAGAGUAAAAGGUAACUACAUAUUUUGUUUCCAGAAAGUCAGGGGUCUAAUUUGACAAUGGCUAAACAUCUAGGGUAAGAUAACUUUUCCACAUUUCCAAAAUUGCAUGUUAAGUUUAAAUGCUUACGAUCAUCUCAUCCACUGUUAGCCUUUUCUCACCUCACUUGAGCCAGGAGUUGGGGUGGGCAUGUGGGUUUUUAAAAUUUUUCCUUUGCAGAGGCUUCAUUUCAUCCUUCAUGAAGCUGCUCAGGAUUUUGACUUGCAUAUGAGUGCUUGGCUCUGUCUUCUGUUCUGCUAGUGAGUGUGUGGGACCUUGCAGUGAGUUUUUCAUGGAAUCUGGAGGGAAGGGAGAAGGGGGGGGGGGCUUACUUGUUUUAGCUUUUUUUUACAGACUACACAGAGAAUGCAGGUGUCUUGACUUCAGGUCUUGUCUGUUCUUUGGCAAGUAAUAUGCAGUACUGUUCGAAUCUGCUGCUAUUAGAAUGCAUUGUGACCGACUGGAUAUGGUUAAAAGUUGUGUUUUCCCAAAUGUUUGGAGUAGUGAUUGUGGAGGCAAACCAUGAGUGAUACAGGCUGAGUGUUGAGGAAAUGGCUCUGCAGCUUUAAGUAACACGUGUUUGUGAUUGAAGCCAAGUUCCUUUUGCGUGCUGCUUUAGGUAAAUGUUUUUGUUCAUUUUUGGUGAGGGGGGAUGGGGGCACUGAAGCCUUUAGUCUUUUCCAGAUUCAACCUAAAAUCUUGACAAGAAAUAAAUUCAGACAAGCAACAUUCUUGAAGAAAUUUUAACUGGCAAGUGGAAAUGUUUUAACAGUUCAGUGGUCUUUAGAGCGUUGUCUGUGUGGUGUCUCUCUCCCCUCCCUUGGUCUUAAUUCUCACAUGCAGGAACAUUGAGAACAGCAGACACGUAUGCGAGGGGCCAGAGAAGCCAGACCCAGUAAGGAAAACAAUAGCCCCUUUACUUUAAAUCAAUAAGUGAACCAAGCCUUGCAUUUCACUGUGGGGAUUGGGAAGCACUAGUUCUUUCAGAUGUGCUCUUCAGACUGUAGAGGAGCUUCCAAUUGAACUCACCAGUGGACAAGAUGAGGACACCAGGUGAACAAGCCUUUUCUUGUUUAAGAUUAGUGACGUAAAUGAAUUAGUGUUGGAUCCUCUUCAGCUUCAUGCUGGAGUAGUUAGCAUGUGAUGAACAAGUGGUAUGUUGGCCUUGGGGUGGAGGGGUGAGGUGGGCGCUAAGCCUUUUCUUAAGAUUUUUCAGGUACCCCUCACUAAAGGCACCAAAGGCUUUAAUGUAGGACAGCGGAGCGAACCUUCCUGUGGCAAGAGACAGCCAAGCACUAUUAUACCAAGGUCAAAGUGGUGUCAUGGUCUGGUUUUGGUUAGCAGUGAGGACUGCCUCAGCACCUUGCUUGGAGUGAAGCAUUGAAAGAGAAUACUGGAGUGUCCCUGGGCUUGUUUUAAUAUCCAAAAAAAAGCUGUUUUUAUAGCAGCUGUUAGCAGCCCAUACCUCAUUGUGCUUGAAGGGGAGGGAAAGGGGGAAAGUGGGCAACCAUUUUUCCCUAGCUUUUCCAGAAGCCUGUUACAAGGUCUCCCCACAAGUGACUUCUCUGCCACAUCGCCACCCUGUGCCUUUGGCUUAAUCACAGACCCUUCACCCCUCACCUUGAUGCAGCCAGUAGCUGGAUCCUUGAGGGCAUGAUGCGUAAUCGGUUUCAAGGUAACCACGGUGCCGAGGUCCGGUGGGUUGCACUAGAAAAGGCCGUUUCUGUCCUGCCUGUAAAUUAACAAAACAGUAAAACCACAGCUAAGUAGCUAAGAUGUUUCUAAGUGUGUAGCACCUAUUCAGUGACUAAACAAACUUAAACCAGUCAGGGGAAUGGUAAUGUUUGAUAUCUGACUGCUGGGUGGGAAUACAGAAGUCAGUUGAGCAAGGCAAGGCUUUGUUAGGAAGCUGCUGGGUGGGAUUGCAAAAAUUCUCUGCUAAGACUUUUCCAGGUGGACAUUACAGACUUGACCAAGCUAGCAUCUUAGCGGAAGGAGAUUCUUCAAUAGGGCUCUAAAGGUUUUUCUUUUCCUGAGAAAACAAACUCUUGUUUUCUCAGGUUUUGCUUUUUGGCCUUUCCCUAGCUUAAAAAAAAAAAAAAGCAAAAGAUGCCGGUGGUUGGCACUCCUGGUUUCCAGGAUGGGGUUCAAAUCCCUACGGUGUCUUUGCUUGAUUCUCGAUAUUAUAAGGCCUUGGCAUUUCGGAGGGGGAGGGGACUCAGGAGAUGGGAGCAGACACACUGCAUCUCUGCCCAGCCUCAGUGUUGAACUUGUCAGUAACUGGCAGCUGCUUUGUCUUUUUCAGGUUAUGCCCAAUUCAUCUAGUGUUGGCAUAGCUCCAUUAUCGGAUACUUUUCAUUUUACAAAAUAAAAGCUGAAAAUUUUCA